rnacentral:rRNA from 1 species
UGGGGAAUAUUGCGCAAUGGGCGAAAGCCUGACGCAGCGACGCCGCGUGUGGGAUGAAGGUCUUCGGAUUGUAAACCACUGUCGCGAGGGACGAAGCUCUGACGGUACCUCGAAAGGAAGCACCGGCUAACUCUGUGCCAGCAGCCGCGGUAAUACAGAGGGUGCAAGCGUUGUCCGGAAUCACUGGGCGUAAAGGGCGCGUAGGCGGCUUGGUAAGUAGGGGGUGAAAUCUCACGGCUCAACUGUGAGGCUGCCUUCUAGACUGCCGAGCUUGAGCACAGUAGAGGCUGGUGGAAUUCCCGGUGUAGCGGUGGAAUGCGUAGAGAUCGGGAAGAACAUCUGUGGCGAAGGCGGCCAGCUGGGCUGUUGCUGACGCUGAUGCGCGACAGCGUGGGGAGCAAACAGGAUUAGAUACCCCCGUAGUCC